rnacentral:rRNA from 1 species
CGCGUAGGCGGCCGCGUAAGUCACUUGUGAAAUCCCGGGGCUCAACUCCGGGGCUGCAGGUGAGACUGCGUGGCUAGAGCACGGUAGAGGCGAGUGGAAUUCCCGGUGUAGCGGUGGAAUGCGUAGAUAUCGGGAAGAACACCGGUGGCGAAGGCGGCUCGCUGGGCCGUUGCUGACGCUGAGGCGCGAAAGCGUGGGGAGCAAACA